rnacentral:rRNA from 1 species
GUAGGGAAUCUUGCGCAAUGGGCGAAAGCCUGACGCAGCCAUGCCGCGUGAAUGAUGAAGGUCUUAGGAUUGUAAAAUUCUUUCACCGGGGACGAUAAUGACGGUACCCGGAGAAGAAGCCCCGGCUAACUUCGUGCCAGCAGCCGCGGUAAUACGAAGGGGGCUAGCGUUGCUCGGAAUUACUGGGCGUAAAGGGAGCGUAGGCGGAUAGUUUAGUCAGAGGUGAAAGCCCAGGGCUCAACCUUGGAAUUGCCUUUGAUACUGGCUAUCUUGAGUAUGGAAGAGGUAUGUGGAACUCCGAGUGUAGAGGUGAAAUUCGUAGAUAUCCGGAGGAACACCAGUGGCGAAGGCGGCUCACUGGUCUGGUACUGACGCUGAGGUGCGAAAGCGUGGGGAGCAAACAGGAUUAGAAACCCCAGUAGUCC